GAUGAACGCUGGCGGCGUGCCUAAUACAUGCAAGUCGAGCGAACAGACGAGGAGCUUGCUCCUCUGACGUUAGCGGCGGACGGGUGAGUAACACGUGGAUAACCUACCUAUAAGACUGGGAUAACUUCGGGAAACCGGAGCUAAUACCGGAUAAUAUAUUGAACCGCAUGGUUCAAUAGUGAAAGACGGUUUUGCUGUCACUUAUAGAUGGAUCCGCGCCGCAUUAGCUAGUUGGUAAGGUAACGGCUUACCAAGGCAACGAUGCGUAGCCGACCUGAGAGGGUGGUCGGCCACCCUGGAACUGAGCCACCGUCCAGACUCCUGCGGUAGGCCGCAGUCGGGAAUCUUCGGCAAUGGUCGAAAGCCUGACGGAGCAGCGCCGCGUGUGUGAUGAAGGUCUUCGGAUCGUAAUACUCUGUUAUUAGGGAAGAACAAAUGUGUAAGUAACUAUGCACGUCUUGACGGUACCUAAUCAGAAAGCCCCGGCUAACUACGUG
rnacentral:rRNA from 1 species